rnacentral:rRNA from 1 species
GACGAACGCUGGCGGCGUGCUUAACACAUGCAAGUCGAACGGAAAGGCCCUGCUUUUGUGGGGUGCUCGAGUGGCGAACGGGUGAGUAACACGUGAGUAACCUGCCCUUGACUUUGGGAUAACUUCAGGAAACUGGGGCUAAUACCGGAUAGGAGCUCCUGCUGCAUGGUGGGGGUUGGAAAGUUUCGGCGGUUGGGGAUGGACUCGCGGCUUAUCAGCUUGUUGGUGGGGUAGUGGCUUACCAAGGCUUUGACGGGUAGCCGGCCUGAGAGGGUGACCGGCCACAUUGGGACUGAGAUACGGCCCAGACUCCUACGGGAGGCAGCAGUGGGGAAUAUUGCACAAUGGGCGGAAGCCUGAUGCAGCAACGCCGCGUGCGGGAUGACGGCCUUCGGGUUGUAAACCGCUUUCGCCUGUGACGAAGCGUGAGUGACGGUAAUGGGUAAAGAAGCACCGGCUAACUACGUGCCAGCAGCCGCGGUGAUACGUAGGGUGCGAGCGUUGUCCGGAUUUAUUGGGCGUAAAGGGCUCGUAGGUGGUUGAUCGCGUCGGAAGUGUAAUCUUGGGGCUUAACCCUGAGCGUGCUUUCGAUACGGGUUGACUUGAGGGAGGUAGGGGAGAAUGGAAUUCCUGGUGGAGCGGUGGAAUGCGCAGAUAUCAGGAGGAACACCAGUGGCGAAGGCGGUUCUCUGGGCCUUUCCUGACGCUGAGGAGCGAAAGCGUGGGGAGCGAACAGGCUUAGAUACCCUGGUAGUCCACGCUGUAAACGGUGGGUACUAGGUGUGGGGUCCAUUCCACGGGUUCCGUGCCGUAGCUAACGCUUUAAGUACCCCGCCUGGGGAGUACGGCCGCAAGGCUAAAACUCAAAGGAAUUGACGGGGCCCCGCACAAGCGGCGGAGCAUGCGGAUUAAUUCGAUGCAACGCGUAGAACCUUACCUGGGUUUGACAUGGAUCGGGAGCGCUCAGAGAUGGGUGUGCCUCUUUUGGGGUCGGUUCACAGGUGGUGCAUGGCUGUCGUCAGCUCGUGUCGUGAGAUGUUGGGUUAAGUCCCGCAACGAGCGCAACCCUUGUUCACUGUUGCCAGCACGUUAUGGUGGGGACUCAGUGGAGACCGCCGGGGUCAACUCGGAGGAAGGUGGGGAUGACGUCAAGUCAUCAUGCCCCUUAUGUCCAGGGCUUCACGCAUGCUACAAUGGCUGGUACAGAGAGUGGCGAGCCUGUGAGGGUGAGCGAAUCUCGGAAAGCCGGUCUCAGUUCGGAUUGGGGUCUGCAACUCGACCUCAUGAAGUCGGAGUCGCUAGUAAUCGCAGAUCAGCAACGCUGCGGUGAAUACGUUCCCGGG